UACGUAGGGUGCGAGCGUUAAUCGGAAUUACUGGGCGUAAAGCGUGCGCAGGCGGUUUUGCAAGCCGGAUGUGAAAUCCCCGGGCUUAACCUGGGAAUGGCAUUUGGGACUGCAAGGCUGGAGUGCGGCAGAGGAGACUGGAAUUCCUGGUGUAGCAGUGAAAUGCGUAGAUAUCAGGAGGAAUACCGAUGGCGAAGGCAGGUCUCUGGGCUGACACUGACGCUCAUGCACGAAAGCGUGGGGAGCAAACAGG
rnacentral:rRNA from 1 species